UCCCCCCUCUGUCUCUCUCUUUCCCCCUCUGUCUCUCUAUCUCUCUUUGAAUCCCCCUCUGUAUCUCUGUCUCCCCCUAUCUGUCUCUGUGUCUUCCCGCUGUGUCUCUCCACCCUCUGUUUCUCUGAUUCCCCCUCUGUCUCUCUGUCUCCCCCCUCUGUCUCUGUCUCUCCAAUGCGCAGUAACUAAAACCAGAGGCUGCAGCAAGGCAGCAGGAUAUAUCAACGUGGGGACACGUGUGGUGGUGACGUGGUGAGGUGAGUGAAGGAGGCAAAGUCACUAGGCAGCCAUCAUCUGUAACUCCCAGACAAUGCACAACUAACUGGACAUUGAAAUUAAGAACUGGGAGACCAAUAGGAUCCAUUUGCCGUGAUUCUCGCCAUCAGGAAUAGGAAGGUUUCCUCACUCACUGGGAGACAAUUAGGAUCCAUCACAGGGGUUCUCACCACCAGAAACUAAGAGGGAUUCUCACCAUCAAGACACAAGACUCCUAACCAAGCCCCAAAGUUUUAUGUGAAUACCAUCAGCUACCUUCUCCAGCUUGCUCCUGUUUGAGCCAAACUGACAG